GGAAUUACUGGGCGUAAAGCGCGCGUAGGCGGUUCGUUAAGUCAGAUGUGAAAUCCCCGGGCUCAACCUGGGAACUGCAUUUGAGACUGGCGAGCUAGAGUAUGGCAGAGGGGGGUGGAAUUCCAAGUGUAGCGGUGAAAUGCGUAGAUAUGCGGAGGAACACCGAUGGCGAAGGCGGCCCCCUGGACCAAUACUGACGCUCAUGUGCGAAAGCAUGGGGAGCAAACAGGAUUAA
rnacentral:rRNA from 1 species